CGCGAGCUGAGGCGGAGAGAAGCGAGUUGCCGGUGCGAAAUAUCUAAAUUUUUAAGAUUGUAUUACUGGUGAAGAUUGUGGAGAGAGAGAAAUUUUAAGGAAUAAUUUAUUGAAAAAGCCACAAGGAGAAGAGCCACGAGUGACACGUAGAGGAGUCCCAGAGGCUUAGUGU